rnacentral:misc_RNA from 1 species
CACCACUCAAGCCUGGCUUGGUAUUGGGCGCCGCGGUGUAUCCGCGCGCCUCAAAGUCUCCGGCUGAGCUGUCCGUCUCUAAGCGUUGUGAUUUCAUUAAUCGCUUGGGAGCGCGGGCGGCCGCGGCCGUUAAAUCUUUCAUAA